rnacentral:rRNA from 1 species
CCAAUUAAAGCGGUACGUGAGCUGGGUUCAGUACGUCGUGAGACAGUACGGUCUCUAUCUACCGUGGUCGUAGGAAUCUUGCGGGGAGCUGUCCAUAGUACGAGAGGACCUGGAUGGACGAACCUCUGGCGUACCAGUUGUCCUGCCAAGGGCAUCGCUGGGUAACUAAUGUUCGGCAGCGAUAAACACUGAAAGCAUCUAAGUGUGAAGCGCACCCCAAGAUAAGGAUUCCCGCGGGUCCAG